GGGGAAUAUUGGACAAUGGGCGCAAGCCUGAUCCAGCCAUGCCGCGUGAGUGAUGAAGGCCCUAGGGUUGUAAAGCUCUUUCACCGGUGAAGAUAAUGACGGUAACCGGAGAAGAAGCCCCGGCUAACUUCGUGCCAGCAGCCGCGGUAAUACGAAGGGGGCUAGCGUUGUCCGGAAUUACUGGGCGUAAAGCGCACGUAGGCGGACAUUUAAGUCAGGGGUGAAAUCCCAGAGCUCAACUCGGGAACUGCCUUUGAUACUGGGUGUCUUGAGUAUGGAAGAGGUAAGUGGAAUUCCGAGUGUAGAGGUGAAAUUCGUAGAUAUUCGGAGGAACACCAGUGGCGAAGGCGGCUUACUGGUCCAUUACUGACGCUGAGGUGCGAAAGCGUGGGGAGCAAAC
rnacentral:rRNA from 1 species